rnacentral:rRNA from 1 species
CCUACGGGUGGCUGCAGUGGGGAAUCUUGCACAAUGGGGGAAACCCUGAUGCAGCGACGCCGCGUGAGUGAUGAAGCCCUUCGGGGUGUAAAGCUCUUUCAGCCGGAACGAUAAUGACGGUACCGGCAGAAGAAGCUGCGGCUAACUACGUGCCAGCAGCCGCGGUAAUACGUAGGCAGCGAGCGUUGUUCGGAGUUACUGGGCGUAAAGAGUGCGUAGGCGGUUGUCCAAGUCUGGUGUGAAAUCUCCCGGCUCAACUGGGAGGGUGCGCUAGA